GAAACUAACAAGGAUUCCCCUAGUAGCGGCGAGCGAAGCGGGAAGAGCUCAAAUUUAUAAUCUGGCACCUUCGGUGUCCGAGUUGUAAUCUCUAGAAGUGUUUUCCGCGUUGGACCGCACACAAGUCUGUUGGAAUACAGCGGCAUAGUGGUGAAACCCCCGUAUAUGGUGCGGACGCCCAGCGCUUUGUGAUACACUUUCAAUGAGUCGAGUUGUUUGGGAAUGCAGCUCAAAUUGGGUGGUAAAUUCCAUCUAAAGCUAAAUAUUGGCGAGAGACCGAUAGCGAACAAGUACCGUGAGGGAAAGAUGAAAAGCACUUUGGAAAGAGAGUUAACAGUACGUGAAAUUGUUGGAAGGGAAACGCUUGAAGUCAGACUUGCUUGCCGGAGCUUGCUUCGGUUUGCAGGCCAGCAUCAGUUUUCCGGGGUGGAUAAUGACGGUUUGAAGGUAGCAGUCUCGGCUGUGUUAUAGCUUUCCGUUGGAUACAUCCUGGGGGACUGAGGAACGCAGCGUGCUUUUUGCGAAAGACUCGUCUUUUUCACGCU
rnacentral:rRNA from 1 species